GAGAGCUCACUGCUGCCGCGCUGUGCAGAGCCGCCGCUGUUCGCUCUCCAGUUCGCCGUGCUUUGUCGAUGCCACGGCGCCGCCGCCAUCGUGCCACGCGUCGCCGUCGAAACUCGUCAUUUGCCAUUGCUAAUCGCGAAGAGAGUGACGGGAAGGCCUUGCGGGGAGGGUUCGCGAUGUGCCGCCGCCAGUGCUAGGGUCUGACGUCGCCGGUCACCGUCGUGAGCUUCCUUGCCAUUGCCACAGAAGCUGCCUUCGCCGGUGCCGUUGGAGGCGCGAAUGGAAGAGCGCCGUUGAGAGGGGAAACGUGAGCUGCGAGCCACGGGCUGAGGAGAAGCUCCACCCUCGUUGCCGCUAAAGGAGUUCUGUGCGUCGCCGCCAAGGGUUGCCGCAGGUGGGGAGAAGACGCCGCCGCCUCACGUCGCUGCCACCAUCUGAGCUCGCUGCUGCUAAUAAUGGUAAGCCUAAACCGCCGCCGGCAGAGGGAUUCAGGCCGCCGCAGGUGUUGCUACCGGAGAAGAGAGCUGUAUCUCCGUGAUUCCGACCGCCGGGAAAGGUUCUGUGACCUCUGGAAGCACCGUCGGAGCUCUGGACUCAGCUUUUGCCAAUCGAGACCCUGCUGCCGUCGCCGGAAAAGUUGGCCGUCUUCAUCGCCGGAGUCCGGUCGCCGCUGCUGCUUGAGGUGGCUGCCGGAUUACCGCCAAACCGGUUCGGUGAUCGCCGCUGUUCCGGUUCAGCCGUUCCUUCUUCGUUCGG